UUGAAUCCCCAUGCUUUCGGAGCCUGUUGAGAGCGCAGGAAGUGCCAGGCCAGUUUUGUACCGAACUAAUUCAUGAAGUGUUUGGUGCCGUUCAUACUAUUGUGCAUGGCGAACGCUAUCAGUUCGCUGAAUGCCGUUUAAACUGCUUUACUUACAGGUAAGUGGGCACUCCACUCGGGUUGAGUAGGCUGCCCAGUCACACACUAAAGUAUUGGUGCUUCAAGCAGGCUAGAUUUUGAUUUUACAGCGAAGCUGUUAUCCUCUAGUUGGUCAACAUUUUUCGUGUUCGCAUCUAUCGUCAAAAUCGUGGACCCAUCCUGGCGACAGUGCUAAGACAAGAGCAGUGGCCCCUACCCCAGUGUGGUACAGGCUUCAGUCAGUUAGCAAAAUGAAGUGGACAGUGCGUACAUUCUCUGUAAUCGCUCAUGCAACGUAUACAGAACAGUAUAUAUUUCAAUAAAGAACAAGCGCAAAGCAGUCAUUGAAACCACGUAAUUGAUGAGGCGGUCCUGACAACACUGCGAUGCACGUGGUGCUCCCUGCAUACAUUUCCCGGUAACGAUUAUUGCUGCGCAAGCUGCCACAGUGAUGGCAACAGGCAACGUGAGGAGCGACGUUCCUAGCAUUUCGUAUGUAAAAGAACCAGCCUAACAAAUGACUUCAAUGUUGUUGCAGCACCGCUAUAGGGGGCAGCGUGCUGUCACAAUUGCCAUUACUCUCAAGCAAUAAAGCAUCGCAUAACCCCCUUAGCAGUUGCAGUGUUGGUUUUCAACACCUUUGCUGGACCUCCACUUUCGCAAGGCUGGGACGGAGAGUAAAUUUGUUCGUAAAUAUGUAUGUCAUAAGAAUAACGAAAAAUGAGCAUGCAGUCUGUUCCCUAGACCAACGCCUUCCCUUCCCCACUCCAAACUAAAAGCUCAACACCAGAAACUGCCCUCCUUUGUCUUGCAGAUCAGUCUGAGGAGUUGCCGCACUUACCGUAUCCAAGUGAAUGUUGGGAUUGUGGACGAUUACGGACACAUCAUCAGCGCAUCGGUCGUCCGGAAAUCUGUUGGUGACCGCUUCAUUGCCGUCGCAACCUGAAAUUCUAGUCUCAAGCCUCGAGUCAAGAAAACGUUCAAGACUGAGUCACAUUAAGCAAAGCCUCCCUCUGAUGCUGUGAGCUCAGUGCGUGGCAUUUUACCAAAUCUCUAACUAACAGACGAUGCUUCUUUCUGCUGAAAACUAUGGUUUGCUUUAGAAAAGUGGUUUUUACAAUAGAUGUACUUAUGCAAAUUUCACUUGCACGACUUUGUUAUGACCAUAACCGGAAAUUGCAAUGUCUUGUAGACUUACCUGACCAAGUUAUCAUGGUACACUUAAGAAAGAAAUAGCGAUUUGUUUUCACAUGAAAAAAUAAAAUUUCUUGCAUGCAAUUCCCA